UUAAAUUGAAGAGUUUGAUCAUGGCUCAGAUUGAACGCUGGCGGCAGGCCUAACACAUGCAAGUCGAGCGGCAGCGGGAAAGUAGCUUGCUACUUUUGCCGGCGAGCGGCGGACGGGUG
rnacentral:rRNA from 1 species